rnacentral:rRNA from 1 species
ACCGAGUUUUCGAGCUCCGGCUCGACUCUCCCACCCUUUGUGAACGUACCUCUGUUGCUUUGGCGGCUCCGGCCGCCAAAGGACCUUCAAACUCCAGUCAGUAAACGCAGACGUCUGAUAAACAAGUUAAUAAACUAAAACUUUCAACAACGGAUCUCUUGGUUCUGGCAUCGAUGAAGAACGCAGCGAAAUGCGAUAAGUAAUGUGAAUUGCAGAAUUCAGUGAAUCAUCGAAUCUUUGAACGCACAUUGCGCCCCUUGGUAUUCCGGGGGGCAUGCCUGUUCGAGCGUCAUUACAACCCUCAAGCUCUGCUUGGAAUUGGGCACCGUCCUCACUGCGGACGCGCCUCAAAGACCUCGGCGGUGGCUGUUCAGCCCUCAAGCGUAGUAGAAUACACCUCGCUUUGGAGCGGUUGGCGUCGCCCGCCGGACGAACCUUCUGAACUUUUCUCAAGGUUGACCUCGGAUCAGGUAGGGAUACCC